rnacentral:rRNA from 1 species
CAGCAGCCCGAGUGGUGGUCGUUUUUAUUGGGCCUAAAGCGUCCGUAGCCGGUCUAGUAAAUCCUUGGAUAAAUCGUACAGCUUAACUGUACGGCUCCCGGGGAGACUGCUAGACUUGGGACUGGGAGAGGUCGGAGGUACUCCAGGGGUAGGGGUGAAAUCUUGUAAUCCUUGGGGGACCACCAGUGGCGAAGGCGUCCGACCAGAACGGGUCCGACGGUAAGGGACGAAGCCCUGGGUCGCGAACCGGAUUAGAUACCCGCGUAGUCC